UUAGCGGAAGUGGGGGGGAAAAAAAAACCCACGCAGCCCUACUUCGGGACGCACCUGCACAGCCCAGAGGACAGCCCACCAGCCUCCAAACAGUUCUGCGAAAAAUUAGGCUAUCUUUCAUUAGCUAUCUAUCAUGCGGCCUCCACCAGGCUGCAGGAUAUGAGGGCCAUUUAAUUAGGCCCUGCACCACUCUCCGGUGUGAAAAGGCUCUCAAACGCUUUGAUUCCCCGCUGCUUCGCAGCAGGAAGUUGUUGGCGAUAAUUGACAUAGGAUUUCCUUGUUAACCAGCAGCAGACACGCCGGAUUAAAGCGACAGAGAUCUCGAGAAGAAAGUGAAAGAGAUAAGAAGCUCGGAAGACUUCUGCUUAUUUGGCACUUGAGGAUGGCAGGAAACAGCAAUAACCCACUCAAGUGGCGACUCCAGAGUGGAAGGGCGUCCCCUUAUCAGACCCAUUUCAGCUUGGCUGAUCAAAGAUUGACUCCCCGCAAAAUCACAUAGGCCUGGGGUUUGUUAGUUUAUUAAGCGGCAGGUUUUAGGAAUUAUCACAGGUUUAAAGAUGGAUUGCAGUUUAUAUGAAGGGGGAGAGGAUUAUCGGGUUUUCAUCUUAACAAUUAUAAAAUAUCACAGCUGAAAGCUAGCUUGCAAAUGACAUAAUUUUCCACUGCCAACUAAACAGGUCAUUGUGAGGCUGCCUGUGAGCGCACUCAGUGAGGGAGGAAAUACAGGCAAAUUAACUCUGGGGAGGACCGGGGAUGAGGGGCCUCCAUGCCUUGUUCCACUUAGGAAGACCGUGCGAUCUCAUUUUGCCCUGUGCGAUUCCUUAGGUAUAACAUCCAAUUGCUCCUGUUGGAAGGAACAUUCUGCAUGCAAAUGGCAGACAUACUCUGGGGCACUCAAAUAUAUUGUUCCUGAAAGAAAGGAAGUGGCCUGUAGAGAAGAUAUUCUACUAGAAGAUUCCUCUGUGAGGCUGCUAGUACUUCUCCAGCAGACCAAGCCAGGAGAGCUUUCUGAAAGAUUUUACCAGAUUUUCCAGGGGUUCUCAAAGAUUGUCUGCAGAGCAGCACUGAUAAGUGAUUGCAGCUUCUUGAGUCUAUAGAGAGAGACCUUUAUGCUGUCUCUACUAGAAAGUAAUGCUUUUUUCCCUGAGAUUUUGUUCUUUUUUAAAAUUUUUAUGUGCUUUUAAAAUUUCAUGUGUGUGUUAACAUGUCCUUUCUUUACAGAAUGAUGAAGGCCAUAUGUAAAUUUCUGAAAAGAUUUGAAUGAUUUGAUUUGGCAAAAUAAAGAAUUGUCAAUCCUACAUAGAGCCCCGUACACCAAUUUUUAAAAAUAAUUUUGUUGCUUCACAAAAUCUGGGAACCACUGGAUAUAUGAAGUACCUCUUUUAGCAAAAGCAAAGUCAACUCUCACCCUAGGAAACAGUUCAUUUUUUGAUCUGUUUUUAUUUUUCUGUGGCAAAAAGGGCUUUUGUGGUGCCUCUUUGAAUAAAAG
rnacentral:lncRNA from 1 species